AAGUAAGCAGAAGGGUGAUGCUGUGUCGAUGGGAAAGUACAGGUGCCAAUGAGAAGGCACAGGUGUCAAGGAGAAGACACAGGAUGCUGGAGGCUCAUGCAGGAUGGAUCUCCAAGGCCCAGGGGAAGAAGGGCCUCUCGGAGGACGUGAAUCCACAUUAAGACUUUGGGGAUAAGUAGGAGCGCCUUAGGCAUGGGGACCCAUGGAUGCGAGGCCUGUAGGACACAGACAGGAUGGCAUGAAGGCCUGUGCAACUGGAGGGGUGGGGAUGGGGACACUAAGAGAUGGCUGGAAGUGUGGGGGUGGGGACACUAAGAGAUGACUGGAGAAGAGGGGGUCAGGAGUGGUGAAAAAUGGGAGAGGAGGGCAGGCUGGGCCUUUUGGAUACAGGGGGAUUGCAUCCUGCAGUGGUAGGGAGCCACUGAGGGCUGCUGCAGUAGGAGUGAGGGGAUCAGAGGAGAGCUUUGGAAGCCCCCUGGAUGCGGGACAGGAAGCGAGAUACCAGUGUCUAGGAGGCCAGUGAGGCAGCCACAGGCUCCACCAGGAUCAGGGCUGCGAGGGUCAUGAGGAGGAAACCAAUUUGAAGGAGUCCAGGGGAAUAGGACUUGGAAAUGACCGAUGGGACAUUUGGGAAGAGGAAGACAGAAGAGCGCAGUCCCGGCUUCUGGCUUUAGCAGUUGGGCAAGGGGAGAUGGGGAGAUGUGCCCAUGGGUUGAGGGUUGAGGACAUUAGGAGGGAGCCGGUAUGGCAGGAAGAGCUGGUGUGCCAGAGAUGCUGGAAGCAGCAUCUGCCUGAGAACAGAUACCUGGCAAUAUUCCUAAGGGAAAGUGACAUCUCGGAGGGUGAGGAGGGCAUCUGAUAGGGCCUGGAAAGAGCCGGGGCAAGCAUGAAUGUGAGGUUAUCUUGGGGGGCAAGGCUCAGGCGUUGAGGAGCAGCCCCUGGUCUCUUCAGCCUGAAGUUGGAAGCCAGAGUUGGGCCAGGUGCAGCUGUGGUUGUCUGAAGUCCCCCUCCCCCAGCCCAGUGUGCCAAUGCUGUAAGAGCAAGGGCCGCUCACUGGUGCUGGUGGCUGAGUCCCAGCACCCAGGACAGGGCCUGGCACAUACUGGUGCCCAAUCCUCCCUUCUGGGUGCUUCUUCCAAGGCCUUGUGAUGGAAGUGAGUACCCUCUUCGACAUCAGACCCAGCUUCAAAUCCUGGCUCUGCUAUGUAUUGGCUGCGUGGCUUUAGACAAGUCUUUUAACCUUGCUGUGCUUCUGAUUUCUCAGCUGAAAAAUGGAGAUGAUGAUAGUGGUUUCUGUAAGGCCUUAUGGUGAAGCACCUAGCUCAGGGCCUGGAAGGCAGGUGUAACCAGUGGUUCAGUUGUUAUAAACCAACACUAACCCUCGCCUUUGCACCUCAUGAAACCAGAUAUGUAGAUGGAGCCCACAAAGCUAGCAGGAGCCAAGCUCACGUGUGUCCUGCUUUAAAGCCCCAUACCCCUUUCUCCGGGUGACAAACACCUGUGCUCGUUCUCUUCCCUUCCCCUCUUCCCCUUGCAUUUGGCUAAUAACAGGCCAGCUGCCUGCCUCCCUGCAGUUUGGUAGAUGGGUGGGUAACGACCAC
rnacentral:lncRNA from 10 species